UACAGAGGUCCCAAGCGUUGUUCGGAAUUACUGGGCGUAAAGGGCUCGUAGGUGGCCAACUAAGUCAGACGUGAAAUCCCCAGGCUUAACCUGGGAACUGCGUCUGAUACUGGAUGGCUUGAAUUCGGGAGAGGGAUGCAGAAUUCCAGGUGUAGCGGUGAAAUGCGUAGAUAUCUGGAGGAAUACCGGUGGCGAAGGCGGCAUCCUGGACCGAGAUUGACACUGAAAAGCGAAAGCCAGGGGAGCAAACGGG
rnacentral:rRNA from 1 species